UAUGGAAGGCAGCAGUGGGGAAUAUUGCACAAUGGGCGCAAGCCUGAUGCAGCCAUGCCGCGUGUAUGAAGAAGGCCUUCGGGUUGUAAAGUACUUUCAGUCGUGAGGAAGGUGUUAAGGUUAAUAACCUUAGCAAUUGACGUUAGCGACAGAAGAAGCACCGGCUAACUCCGUGCCAGCAGCCGCGGUAAUACGGAGGGUGCGAGCGUUAAUCGGAAUUACUGGGCGUAAAGGGCACGCAGGCGGUUAAUUAAGUUGGAUGUGAAAUCCCCGGGCUUAACCUGGGAAUGGCAUUCAAGACUGGUUAGCUAGAGUCUUGUAGAGGGGGUAGAAUUCCAUGUGUAGCGGUGAAAUGCGUAGAGAUGUGGAGGAAUACCGGUGGCGAAGGCGGCCCCUGGGCAAAGACUGACGCUCAUGUGCGAAAGCGUGGGGAGCAAACAGGGAUUAGGAUACCCUCUGGAGGACUCAAAGGGCAACAACAAGGGGAUAGG
rnacentral:rRNA from 1 species